rnacentral:sRNA from 1 species
GCACCAGCAAAAUCUGGUGCCGGGAUUGGCGUCCCGGAUUACUAAAAGGCGCAUACACCGCGCGAGCGGUUUUUUU